CGCUAUUGUUUUGCGGCAACGGGACUUAAGGUUUUUCUGUCUAAAAAUCUAUUGUUUUAUUCGUGAAUAUACGUUUAACCGCUUGCCUGAAUCUGUCUUCUUUCGGAAAUAUCGAAGGCCAACCGCAAGUCAUAUUAGGUGGUUGAUUAUCUCAUUAUCAGGCAUCAAUGAAUCAAGAAAUAAAUCAAGGUCGCCAUGUGAUUUUUGCAAGAGUUAUCAUUUUCCAAAAAACACUAAUGGCAAAGGUGCGCACGCAGACCACUCACUCGCCAAAUACGACCUCGACGACACGAACGCGUGAAUCAGACUGACUGAACGUACCUAUCGGUUCGAGUUUCUAUUCAGUGUUGGAAAAGUAUACAUAUGUUUACUACUACACAGAUUGGAGUUCACCGGCUCGCGGUGGUGACCAGCAAUAAUUGUAAACAUUAAUUUCAUAGCGGAUCAAAUAAGUUUCAAUAGUUUAGGGUAGAAAAUGAAAAGUUUCAACAAUUGAUCCUCAAUAUUUACAAUAACUGAAUAUUUACAAUAACUCUAUGUUGGAAAUUCUCAAAUGCACUUUUGAUGAACACGGUUUAGUCUUGACCAUAAAUAAAAUCGCCAUUUCUAUAAUGGUAAAAAAAUAAUGAAUCUCACCUUAAAAUUUCAUCAAUCCAUGGCGAUUGCAACAAACCUUCUGACGUCUGACAGAACAAAAGAGUGUCGCAACCGAUUUUCGCCCGUCGCAUGAAUCAUGAUAUGCCAGAAUAUAACAUCACAAAAAGCAAACUAUGGAUUAAUAAUAGUACAAACUAGGUACCUGCUAACGAUAAGUCAUUGCUCUUUAGUUUCCACUUUGGAUUAAAGGAAAUGGUUGGGAGCGUUUCGUUAGUACGGCACAGUACCAUGGUAACGCUUAUCAUUAGCCGUUGCGUGAGAAUGUGUGUUCAAACAAGUGGUAAUGAAUUCAUGAGCUAUCCUAGUGUUAUUCACUCGUCUGUGAAAUCGAACUUUGGACCUCUGCGAAUCUAGCUUUUCGCGUGCCAUUACAUGCGUUUGGCUCCCGUACUACAUAUGUCACGAUACUAUGCUAGACUCGAAGUAUCGCGUUUUGAUAAUUAAGGCUUCGUCUGCGAUAAAUUGACAAAUUUCAACAAAAGGGUAUAUAGCAACAGAAUGUUUGAGAGGAACGGUUGCUUAUUCAUAUAUGAACAAAGCCCAAU